rnacentral:rRNA from 1 species
AUUGAACGCUGGCGGCAGGCCUAACACAUGCAAGUCGAACGGUAACAGGAAACAGCUUGCUGUUUCGCUGACGAGUGGCGGACGGGUGAGUAAUGUCUGGGAAACUGCCUGAUGGAGGGGGAUAACUACUGGAAACGGUAGCUAAUACCGCAUAACGUCGCAAGACCAAAGAGGGGGACCUUCGGGCCUCUUGCCAUCGGAUGUGCCCAGAUGGGAUUAGCUAGUAGGUGGGGUAACGGCUCACCUAGGCGACGAUCCCUAGCUGGUCUGAGAGGAUGACCAGCCACACUGGAACUGAGACACGGUCUAGACUCCUACGGGAGGCAGCAGUGGGGAAUAUUGCACAAUGGGCGCAAGCCUGAUGCAGCCAUGCCGCGUGUAUGAAGAAGGCCUUCGGGUUGUAAAGUACUUUCAGCGGGGAUGAAGGGAGUAAAGUUAAUACCUUUGCUCAUUGACGUUACCCGCAGAAGAAGCACCGGCUAACUCCGUG